rnacentral:rRNA from 1 species
GGGGAAUUUUGGACAAUGGGCGCAAGCCUGAUUCAGCCAUGCCGCGUGCAGGAUGAAGGCCUUCGGGUUGUAAACUGCUUUUGUACGGAACGAAAAGACUCUGUUUAAUACCUGGGGUCCAUGACGGUACCGUAAGAAUAAGCACCGGCUAACUACGUGCCAGCAGCCGCGGUAAUACGUAGGGUGCGAGCGUUAAUCGGAAUUACUGGGCGUAAAGCGUGCGCAGGCGGUUAUGUAAGACAGAUGUGAAAUCCCCGGGCUCAACCUGGGAACUGCCAUUGUGACUGCAAAGCUAGAGUGCGGCAGAGGGGGAUGGAAUUCCGCGUGUAGCAGUGAAAUGCGUAGAUAUGCGAAGGAACACCGAUGGCGAAGGCAAUCCCCUGGGCCUGAACUGACGCUCAUGCACGAAAGCGUGGGGAGCAAACA